AGAGUUUGAUUCUGGCUCAGGAUGAACGCUGGCGGCGUGCUUAACACAUGCAAGUCGAGCGAAGCGCCUUAUACAGAUUCCUUCGGGAUGAAGGAUUUGGCGACUGAGCGGCGGACGGGUGAGUAACGCGUGGGCAACCUGCCUCACACAGGGGGAUAACAGCUAGAAAUGGCUGCUAAUACCGCAUAAGGCCGCGGCACCGCAUGGUGCGGCGGCAGAAGCUCCGGCGGUGUGAGAUGGGCCCGCGUCUGAUUAGGUAGUUGGUGCGGUAACGGCGCACCAAGCCGACGAUCAGUAGCCGACCUGAGAGGGUGACCGGCCACAUUGGGACUGAGACACGGCCCAAACUCCUACGGGAGGCAGCAGUGGGGAAUAUUGCACAAUGGGGGAAACCCUGAUGCAGCGACGCCGCGUGAAGGAUGAAGUAUUUCGGUAUGUAAACUUCUAUCAGCAGGGAAGAAGAUGACGGUACCUGACUAAGAAGCCCCGGCUAACUACGUGCCAGCAGCCGCGGUAAUACGUAGGGGGCAAGCGUUAUCCGGAUUUACUGGGUGUAAAGGGAGCGUAGACGGCAGGGCAAGUCUGGAGUGAAAGCCCGGGGCUCAACCCCGGGACUGCUUUGGAAACUGCCAUGCUAGAGUGUCGGAGAGGCAAGUGGAAUUCCUAGUGUAGCGGUGAAAUGCGUAGAUAUUAGGAGGAACACCAGUGGCGAAGGCGGCUUGCUGGACGAUGACUGACGUUGAGGCUCGAAAGCGUGGGGAGCAAACGGGACUAGAUACCCUGGUAGUCCACGCCGUAAAC
rnacentral:rRNA from 1 species